rnacentral:rRNA from 1 species
UUGGGGGCAAGUCUGGUGCCAGCAGCCGCGGUAAUUCCAGCUCCAAUAGCGUAUAUUAAAGUUGUUGCAGUUAAAAAGCUCGUAGUUGAACCUUGGGUCUGGCUGGCCGGUCCGCCUCACCGCGAGUACUGGUCCGGCUGGACCUUUCCUUCUGGGGAACCUCAUGGCCUUCACUGGCUGUGGGGGGAACCAGGACUUUUACUGUGAAAAAAUUAGAGUGUUCAAAGCAGGCCUUUGCUCGAAUACAUUAGCAUGGAAUAAUAGAAUAGGACGUGUGGUUCUAUUUUGUUGGUUUCUAGGACCGCCGUAAUGAUUAAUAGGGAUAGUCGGGGGCGUCAGUAUUCAGCUGUCAGAGGUGAAAUUCUUGGAUUUGCUGAAGACUAACUACUGCGAAAGCAUUCGCCAAGGAUGUUUUCAUUAAUCAGGGAACGAAAGUUAGGGGAUCGAAGACGAUCAGAUACCGUCGUAGUCUUAACCAUAAACUAUGCCGACUAGGGAUCGGACGGGAUUCUAUGAUGACCCGUUCGGCACCUUACGGGAAAC